rnacentral:piRNA from 1 species
CCGAUAAGCAGAGGUCCAUGGGUGGUU